rnacentral:misc_RNA from 1 species
UUUUUUUUUUUUAAUUUUUUAUAUGGGGUGCAGUUUAGAAAUGCCAACCAUCAAAAUUGGCAGUUUCCUAGUCUAGUAUUUUUGUGGGAAGCACUUUUGAAGUUCAAAGAUAGUGCAAGAAAAACUUGAGGAUUCAAAGUCUAGAAUGUUAGGAGUAAAGAUAAAAUUGAUUAUUUGUGGGCAAAAUUUUUUUGCAACUGCUUUUAGGCCUGCGCUCUCAUGAACUCUGGAAGCUCAUUAUUUUGGAGAGAUAGUAUUAAAAUUUUGUUAUUAGGUAUGCGUUUCCAAUGGAAGUGAUACGCAACUGCCAAUAUAUUCACAAUGCUUCACUUUUAACUCUUGUUGAGUGCAGGUUUUUCUUAUACUGGCUUAUCGAUUUCAUUCUUGCAUACUUUUAGAUAUUUGAAUAUUAAUUUUAUUUCAAAACAUUCCUUGUACACUUGUCGUUUUGUUUUGUUGCCUUGACUCUAUCAUUCGGUAGCCAUAGUCAUUAAAGGCUCAAGGUGCACUAA